rnacentral:misc_RNA from 1 species
CUGCAUUUCUGUAGGAAGAGUAUGAUAGUUCAAGUUAGUUUCACAAUUCAAAGUGAUGUAAAGCCAACAGAACAAAGUGGAAGAGAAACAAACUCUCAGUUGUAUUAAUUCUCAAAAUCAAAAAUAAUCAUAAUAAUAGUCUACCAAAAUACCUAGAGAACUUGGGUAUAUAUAGUAGAAUUGUUAAUCCUACUAAGAUUUGGAAUCUUAAACAUGAAAAUAAUCAACAAAAAAUUCCUAAGUAAUAAAAUACUACUUCUUAAAAUAGGUAGUCCUAAAAUCUCUAGAAAAUCCUGCAUCACAAAGCCUAUAUAUAUAUACUGAAUUGUUUAAAUACAAUUAUGGAAAGGCAGAGAGAAAGUGAUCAUUUCCAUAAGUGAAGAAUUCUCGUCUCUAUACUUAGAUGCUAAAGCUAGUAAACAGAAGGGAGAAUAAUCGUGAUGGAUAAAUUUCAGAGAAAGUGGGUGCAUAGCAGCUGCGCAAGUUUGGUAACGGGAAGAACUUGCUAUUGCCCCCAUCCUAGAUUGCAGGAAAGCAGCAUUUCUGCAACUCACUGCUGCUUUUCCCAAACACUCUGAUGUAGCAAAACCUGCACUAGAGCACACAUCAUUCCAAAAAGCUCCCUAUGUGUUUAUAAACUGAGAAAGAGAUAACCGGAUAAUGUACACGUCAAUAACCACACUUUCUAAAUUCAGAUAGUUGCUAAGGUUAUCCUUUACCAUGUAAUCUUUCAAGAACUUCAAUAGCUUCCUUGGGUUUGUAUCCCUCAUUAGCAUCCAAGAUAAAGAAGCAAUCAGGAUAGGUUGCACGUAUGGCCUGAAGAACUUCAAUGUCUGCCUUGAGGUUCUUUCCCACCUUGAGUUUCAAAGUUUUGAAUCUUUGUUUGCGAUACUUUGAAGCCAAUUCAGCAGCUUCAGCCGGUGAUACAAUGGGAAUUGUUAUAUCAGUAGUGAUGCUAUCUGAAACUCCACCAAAUAGCCUCCAUAAUGGUAUGCCGAUGCUAUUAGCCGCUGCAUCAAUCAACGCCAUCUCAACUCCUGCCCUAACAGAAGCAAACUGAUGCCCUGGAAGAACCCCGCCAAUCUUCUUCAAAAGCGAGCCUAACGUCAUCGGCGGACAGCUCCUCAGCAACUCACAAGCCUCUCCGGCCUUCACCAUAGCUGUGGACUGAUCCUCUGCAGUAACAAACGGCAAUAUUGGGGCCUCACCCCAUCCCACACAACCAUUACUCAAUUCAAUCCUAAUAGCCACAUUCUCUACUUUAUCCAGCCUGGACGAGGCUAUUGUAAAUGGAGCUAUCAAGGGCACAUUUAGGGGUCUAUUUUCUGCUCUCUCCACAUCCACUGUCAAAGUUUCCAUCAGGUCCCGAAACCCAAAACUUGUUGCUGUGUUGGGUGUUACUGCAGCCAUUGAUUUGUCUGUAAAGAGCUUGCAAAUGGGUCUUGUUUGUAUGAAAGUUUUUGGAGUCUUGAAACUUUUUAGGUGGAUUUGCAGGGGAAAAUGGAAAGACCCGAUUGAAAGCAUCUGUUGGAUUUGGGGUUUCUGGGAUUCGAAUGAUGGGCUUUGGAGAAGUUUUGAUUGGGUUGUCAAGGACAGAAACAAUAGGAACUGCCAUUGCUAUUGAUACCAUUGCUGUGCAAAGUAUAGGGUAGGAGUAGGGUACGUAUGGCUAAUUUUUAAUUCCACAUGCGAAUAUUUAGCUGC